rnacentral:rRNA from 1 species
CAGGGAAUAUUGCACAAUGGGCGAAAGCCUGAUGCAGCAACGCCGCGUGGGGGAUGACGGUCUUCGGAUUGUAAACCCCUUUUCUGAGGGAAGAGUAAGGACGGUACCUCAGGAAUAAGCAACGGCUAACUACGUGCCAGCAGCCGCGGUAAUACGUAGGUUGCGAGCGUUAUCCGGAUUUACUGGGCGUAAAGCGCACCGAGGUGGCAUCUUAAGUCGGAUGUAAAAUCUCCUGGCUCAACUGGGAGGCGCCAUUCGAUACUGAGAAGCUUGAGUUCAGCAGGGGAAAGUGGAAUUCCCGGUGUAGUGGUGGAAUGCGUAGAGAUCGGGAGGAACACCAGUGGCGAAAGCGGCUUUCUGGGCUGCAACUGACACUCUAGUGCGAAAGCGUGGGGAGCAAACAG